rnacentral:lncRNA from 1 species
AAUUAAUCUACAUGAGGUGUCCUCUACUCACAAACAUAGCUUUUGAUUAUUUACAUAGUGACAAGGGAGAUAAUUACAAGAUGAAAUACAUGUGUUAACUGGUACAAUUUUGUUUUCUUACACAGAAGGAAUAUGCUCAGCAAACUAUGACAAAUUAGCAUUGUAGCAAUAGGGACGUUUGCAGUAAAGCUAAAAAUGAGCCGUUAACUCCAAACUAACAACCUUUAAGAUUCACCAUUGUUAAUCUCAGAAGUUGCUUGUAGUGCACAUCUGGAUGAAGCCACGUUUGGCUGGGAGGGGAAGGUGGGUUUUAGGCAUACAACUGUGGCUGUGUUGUGUCAAUAAAGGACAAUAUUGUUUGCUAUUGAUGGACUUUGAGUUCCCUCCCGCCUGUGCUUAGCACCAGCAGUGAACAGCUAGUGGCAGCUGUUGAAGUUGCUAGGUUCACUGCUCCCGUUACUGUUCUCAAGGACAAAGCACACACAGCUGAGCUGGAAGAUGGCUGUGUUAUAGCUGGACACCACCUGAAACUAAUAAAUGAAGGAGGGAAAGGGGAGAAGUGUCGGAUGCAUGUGGGAUCGUUCCACCAAUCACGCAUGUCAGUUGAGUGAUGCAGGAGUACAUUAUGAGGUUCUCUCAGACCUGGUACCUGGACUAUAAAGGGAAGAAAAUCUUCUGUUCUGGUAAGGUCAGUAUAAAGGUUGUAGAGCUGCAGAGUGAUGAGUGUGAAAUAAUGCUAGUAGUAAAUCUUUCCAUUCUUCUGCCCUACUCUAUCCCCCUCCUCCUUUGGAGUGUGUUAUAGUUAGUAAG